ACAUUUUACCAGGUGCUGAGGGAAAAGCUGCCUUCCCACAAGAGGAUGGGCCCACGCUGCUGCAGUACAUGGCAUCCCACACCCUGACCAUCACAUAGGCCUGCUUUUGAAAACCUAAGUCCACAUGAGAUGCCUAUACAUGGUACCUAGGUAAACACACAGAAAAGCAUCAUCCUCAGCCAGCAGCACACGGAAAGUGGAAAAGCCUGGCCCACCUUACAGUGACACCGCAGAUAUGAACAAGACCCUAGGAGGUCAGAUCCAGGGAGGACUGGGCUGCGCUGUGUGCACUCUGAAGGCUGAAGAUGAUGGUAUGCACUCAGGCAGCGAGUCCCCCAGGGGAAAGGCUCUGCUGUGGGUGUGGGAUAGGGAAGAAACAGGGACUGAGCCCUUAGGCAAGGAGCUCUGCAACUUGCAACUUACUUACAAUGCCUGUGUGUUUGGCUAAUGACAAAAAACCCCCACCCUGGAAUGUGUGAUAAGGAAAAAACAAACAAUGUACUCCCUUGUAAGAUGUUUUUUCAGAAGGACUGGCUCAAAAUGGUCCCUGCAGCAUGCCUACACAUCUGCAAGGUGACCGAUGGAUGACUUCUGCCCAAGACAGUAAUUGAACCCGCACCACAGGAGGGACUGCACAGGUGCAACACCCCAUAAUAAGUGCUGCCAACCUUCCCAGAAGCCUUUGUCACAGACUCCAUCUUACUGGCAGAGUGCACACACAGGUAAGGAACUAAAUAGUCACAUCGAACUGAACUGCUUAUACCAAAAAAAGCAUUAUCUGAAAUCCUAGCUGCUGAUUUGCUAUUACCCCACUUCCUUUUCUUAGCGAAUAAUAAAAGCUUGAGACAAAGACUUGUGCAAGGGAGUAGUAGCCUGCUAGAGUGCUAUACACUGGGCUGCUGCCCCACUGUGCAGUGCUUUCAUUUUCUAAUAAAGGUUUUCCUUUCAAAAGUCAGCCAAGUCUCCGUAAGUAAUUCUUUUCUUGUGGGUAAGACAAUGACUCACUUUUUGAGGUCCGUGGUUCUCAGACUGUAACAUCUCUGGCGACUCUGGUGGGAUUCUUCAACAACGCCUGAGACCACAGCCCAGGGGGACAACGGAAGGGCCAUCUCACCAAAGGGACAGGCAAACAGCCACCAGAGUGUUUGACUCCUAGCCUUCUCCAUAGAUAGACUAUGCUGGACCUACGACAGGGACUGCGACUGGACUCAAUCAGGAUUUCCAGAGCUCUUAAUACGGAUGCUGGUGGUUUUGCAGACUGCAGCUGAUCCAGAAUCACUUGGAACAGAAAUUAACUACACAAGACUGAGUCAACGAAACGACACUGUGGGUUUCAUGUGAGAACACUGCCGAUGUUUUAGUCUUUCUUUCUGGAAAUAUGAAAUGUUUUAAGGUCCUACUUUCUAGAUAUUAAAAAACCAUUUCCUCUUUUCUCCUAAAUUAUCUAACUAGUGGGUUUAGAUAUUUUAACUCUUGAAUUAAAAGUUCCUGUUGACAAACUUAACAAAGUUAGAAAUAUCACCAGAAAGUGUCUGAAAUUUGAGCUAUGAUUUUACAAGUUAGACCAACAUUAGGUUUCCUAUCCUCUCAAGGACAGUCUGUCCCUCAAUAGAUUAAUGUUGCUGUAUUUAUAUUAAUAUACAACCUAAAGUCUGAGAGAAUAUAGUUGCUGCUGAAGCACGUGAAAAACACUUACUGAUGCUGUUUAUGCAUAAACAAACACCUCAUGAGAUUUAUUUCCUUGGUUCAAAGACCUCAGGGUCAUGGUUACAUUGGUUAUUUCAGACAAUUGGCCUAAUAUUAUUGUUAGUGUUUCUGUUCUACCUCCUGAUUUGCUAUAUGGCCCUGAGAUCUUAGAAACCAAAUAGUGGCCAAUUACUAUUUAUUGAGCUCUUUUUUGAUCAAAGAUUCUAUAACAAGAUCAUGAUUCAAAAGAGGGAACCAUGAGAGAGUUGUACAUAAUUCUGCUAGAAUCCAAAUUUCUGGUUUUCACAGAGGCUGGGGCAACCUACAUAGACCAUCAACUUUGGGUGUCCUUUUGAACCUUAAGCUUUGAGAAAAAACUGAUUUCUGAAGCCACUUUGAGUCAAACAACUGUCCAGAUAAACUAGCAAGAUCAUUUUUGCUCUGGGCAUUGUGCUUUUUUUUUUAAAGGAUUCAGUCUGUUUUGAGAAACUGACUCCAAAGAUUAGAUGGAGAGUUAUGUUUAGGGUAAAUCAGUAAUCAUUUAAUCAGUCUUCAAGACAAUGUUGUAUGAAGUACCUGUCUAAUGUUUGUAAUCAAACUCUCACCCUCUUGCUAUACAGAAAAUUAUGCAACUUAACUAAGGUUCUCAGAAGAGAUUGAUCUCAUGGGUCAGACUCCAUGUUGUCUUAGACUCCACUUCUGCUUCUGAGAAGGUGACCCAUGACUCUUAAUAGGUAAACCAAAGAGGCGCAGCUUGCCCUCAGGGAGGACACUUAGUAUGUUUUAGACAGAUUAACUAGAAGACCUCCAACAGGAGAAGUCCAUCCUGUACUAUCUUGCUAAUCAUGAAUUCUCUAAUGAAAACUCAGUUGUCACAUGUAAGUUUUUCUAUAUUUUCUGUUUUCUGUAAACAAACUUUGUGUGUUCCUUCUAGAUAUGUUCUUAUGUGAUAUAUCCACCUAUACUAGUUUAAAUGAUCCCUUUGUGACUAAUAGUAAAUUUACGGGGACAAUUUCUUUAGAUUCCCGAUAAAUGUGUGGACAAUAAACUUUGAAAGCUUUAGGAUUAUCUUUAAAUAUCCAUAGUAAAUAUUGGAAGGAUAAUGUAAAAUUUGUUACCCACUGUUUUUUUUUUUUUUUUUGUAAAACAA